UGUUGAAAUUUGUUGGUCUCAAACUCCUGACCUCGUGAUCUGCCCACCUUGGCCUCCCAAAGUGCUGGGAUUACAGGCGUCAGACACUGCACAUGGCCAAUCAAUCCUUCUUAAUAGUAAGAUUUAUUUUAAAAUUUGGAUUGUGGUUAUAAGACUUUUAGUAGUCUUGGAUAUUACCAUCUUUAUCCUGAAUGAAAGUGUAGCAAGAGGCUGGGCACAGUGGCUCAUGCCUAUAAUCCCAGCACUUUGGGAGGCUGAGGCCAGAGGAUCCCUUGAGCCCAGGAGACCAGCCUGGGCAACAAAGCAAGACCCUGUCUGUAUUAAAAUUACAAAAGUGUGGUAAGGAUCAUUUCCUCACUAACCUUGAACAUCCAAACACAAACCAUCAAAAAGAAUCAACUUCAGAAAGCCAUUAUUGCUUUACUGGUUACGGUGAUUAAAAGAAGGAGGCCCCUCGGGUCACAAAGAUAAUUAACUGAUUUGUCACUAACCAUAUUGAAACUCUUUUUCAAAAAGGGUAUAGAUAACUUUGUAAUUUACAAUUUUAACAAUCAAAUUAGCCAAGAGUAGAGUUUGCAAUAGGACUAGAAAAUACUCCAGUGGCUCAUAUAUAAGUGGGUUAAUUUUAUCUAUUUUUAGGCCUACUAGGUCUAUCAGUCUGGAUUUUCCAUUACUUGGAAAUGGGGGCUGGGGAACAGAUGCUUCUGGCCACUCUGAGCCCUGGCUUGAUCCUUGGGACUCAUCUCUCUCUCUCUCCCUGUUUGUGCGUCACCUCACAGCGGAUACCUGGCUCUUAUCUCAGGACCUGACCUCCCACUGAGCUCCAAGCCUGCAAAGCAUGCUGCCACCCAGAAGUGAGCUACCAUCAGUCACCCGGGAAAUGCAAAUUAAAACCACAGUGAGUGCCCUUAUGCACCCACUAAAAUCAAGCAGACCGAUGAUGCUAAUUGUUGCUGAGGAUAUGGAGUCUCACACGUUUGCUGGGGAAAUGUAAAAUGGCCUGGGCACUUUGUAAACCAGUUUCGGUUAAUAGUAAAUUAAAUGUACACUUACCACAUGACUCAAUAAUUCUACUCUUAGGAUUUACCCAAGGAAAAUAAAAACGUAUGUCCACACAAAGACUUUUUCACAAAUGUGCAUAUCAGCUUUAUUCAUAAUAGGCAUAAGCUAGAAACAUCCAAAUGUCCAUCAAUGGGUGGAAGAAUAAACAAAGUGUGGUUUACCCAUGUAACAGAAUACUAGCAACAAAGAGGAGCUGCUGUUACCUGCAAGCAAUGGAUGAAUCUCAAAAUUAUGUUAAACCAGAGAAGCCAGACACAAGAGAAUGCAUAAUAUAUGAUUCAAUUUCUGUGAAAUUCUAUUUCUACAAAAAGCGAAACUUAUUAAUAGGGGCAGAAAGUAGACCAGUGGUUCUCUGUGGCUGGGUCAGGGAGAGAGCAGCUGACUGCACAGAGCAUGAGAGGGUGAUGGCAAAGUCCAUUCACAUCCUGAAUGUGGUGAUGGUUAUGCCCGUGUAUACAUUCACCAAACCCCAGCAACCUGUACACUUAAAAUGGGUGUGUUUUAUAUAUAACUUAUACUUCAGUAAGGUGUCGACACAGAUAGGCUAAGCUUUUUCAGAGAUGUAACACAGGUAGACAGGAGUAUCAGUGCUGAUUGGCCAACUAUCUUUACAAGAUUUUAUUAAGCUAUAAAUAAAAUGGAAUUGAAAUAGC